rnacentral:rRNA from 1 species
UUUUGGCGAGUUUGAUCCUGGCUCAGAGCGAACGCUGGCGGCGUACUUAACACAUGCAAGUCGUACGAGGAUCGUCGGGUUAGCAAUAAUUCGGCGGUUCGAGUGGCGCACGGGUGAGUA